GAUGAACGCUAGCGGCAGGCCUAACACAUGCAAGUCAAAGUCUGAGUGACUUCGGUUACAAGGACUUGGCGCAAGGGUGAGUAAGGCAUAGGUAAUCUGCCUUUUGGUCUGGGAUAACCCCGAGAAAUCGGGAACAAUACCAGAUGAUGCAGCGGAACCGCAUGGUUAUGUUGUUAAAGAUUUAUCGCCAAAAGAUGAGCCUAUGUUCCAUCAGGUAGUUGGUAGGGUAACGGCCUACCAAGCCUACGACGGAUAGCUGGUCUGAGAGGAUGAUCAGCCACAUUGGAACUGCAGCACGGUCCAGACUCCUACGGGAGGCAGCAGUGAGGAAUAUUGCGCAAUGGGCGAAAGCCUGACGCAGCAACGCCGCGUGGAUGAUGAAGUUCUUCGGAAUGUAAAAUCCAUUUGCAGGGGACGAAUAGGUCGGCUUGCCGGCUGUGACGGUACCCUGCGAAUAAGCCACGGCUAACUCUGUGCCAGCCGCCGCAGUAAUAC
rnacentral:rRNA from 1 species